UAGGGAAUUUUCGUCAAUGGGGGAAACCCUGAACGAGCAAUGCCGCGUGAGUGAAGAAGGUCUUCGGAUCGUAAAGCUCUGUUGUAAGUGAAGAACGGCUCAUAGAGGAAAUGCUAUGGGAGUGACGGUAGCUUACCAGAAAGCCACGGCUAACUACGUGCCAGCAGCCGCGGUAAUACGUAGGUGGCAAGCGUUAUCCGGAAUCAUUGGGCGUAAAGGGUGCGUAGGUGGCGUACUAAGUCUGUAGUAAAAGGCAAUGGCUCAACCAUUGUAAGCUAUGGAAACUGGUAUGCUGGAGUGCAGAAGAGGGGGAUGGAAUUCCAUGUGUAGCGGUAAAAUGCGUAGAUAUAUGGAGGAACACCAGUGGCGAAGGCGGUCGCCUGGUCUGUAACUGACACUGAGGCACGAAAGCGUGGGGAGCAAAUAGG
rnacentral:rRNA from 1 species